rnacentral:rRNA from 1 species
AUUGAACGCUGGCGGCAGGCCUAACACAUGCAAGUCGGGCGAGCGGCGGACGGGUGAGUAAUGUAUGGGGAUCUGCCUGAUGGCGGGGGAUAACUACUGGAAACGGUAGCUAAUACCGCAUACCAUCAGAUGAACCCAUAUGGGAUUAGCUAGUAGGUGAGGUAACGGCUUACCUAGGCGACGAUCCCUAGCUGGUCUGAGAGGAUGAUCAGCCACACUGGGACGGCGACACGGCCCAGACUCCGACGGGAGGCAGCAGUAGGGAAUCUUCGGCAAUGGACGAAAGUCUGACCGAGCAACGCCGCGUGAGUGAAGAAGGUUUUCGGGUUGUAAACCUCUUUCGCUAUCGAACGGGUAGGUGGAGAAGAAGCGCCGGCUAACUACGUGCCAGCCGCCGCGGUAAUUC